UAUCUUUCGUCCCUCUUUUAUAAGCCAGAAAUCUCUAUAAACAUGAUAAAUAUCAUUACAAAAGGAAUGCCAAAAUGACGCAAGCAACAUGAACUUUGGUUGAGUUGUUACCCACCGUUUCAAGUUAUGGAUAUGUUCAGCAUUCACAUCAAUAUUACCCCAUCUCCGAUAUUGUUGUUCCUGAGCAAAACACGAAGACUGUUAUCCAUUAAUUGUCGUUCGUUGCUGCCCGUCAUAAUUGUUGCAUAACACGUAUAAAUCAGUUGUUUUGCUUUCUGUUUUGAACUAUUAAACCUCUGAUAGUCAGUCCGGGAUCCUGACAUAAUAUUAACAAUACCGUUAGCGGACAUUCAGUUGAAAUAUAUUUGAAAUAAAACUUGCAAAAUUGAAUAUAUUUCGUCCCGAUUCCAAGUUACUUUGACAGAGUUGUUGCCGUUCUGUUUUAGCCAAAAUGUUUUAAUUUUAGUUUUUGAAACCUUCCAUGCAAGACCUGGUCAUUUUUGUACAAGAAAAAUGUGUUGGAAG
rnacentral:lncRNA from 1 species